rnacentral:tRNA from 1 species
UAGCUGAGUGGUAAAGCGCUAGGCUUCCAAACCAGAAGUCCUGGGUUAGAAUCCGGG